ACUACAGCGUGCUGCUUGUAGUGCUUUAAGCAGCAGGAGUAAGACGUCCUUGUGUUGUUCCUAGUCUUAGUGUGUUCGCACCGUUUUCCUGAGGUGAGGACAGCACUGAGUGUUUAGCACACUUCUUUCCUCACCGUGUGUUGAGAUCAGUCGGACAAGAACUCUCAUGCAAGCUCUGAUGAAAGUGACAGAAAACACUGUUCCUGCUAAAAACAGCUGGAAGAUGUCUGGUGAAAGGACAUGUGAUGGU